rnacentral:lncRNA from 1 species
UGAACAUACUUAUAACAAUUAACAAACCUCAUGAUACAUUAUAAUAGUGGAUAAUGGAUCGAAAUACAUGCAUAGAUAUUGGGUAAAAUUAAAAACUGAGCCACACCCUUUAAACAAACCAUCAUUGAGUUAUCAAAAUCAGUAACAUGAAUGUAUUCACUAUAAAUUAUAUGCAGAUAGGUAUAUAUGAGAAAACAGUAAAAUGAAAAAUGAUAACUACUUCCACGUUAUUGUUUAUAAAAAAUAAGGCAAACACCUUAACUACAUGCAUAGAUACUCUACUCCCAAUACUAAAGAAAUUAGUCUACAAAUGGGUUUAGUUAAUAUGUUUUCGGUUUAAACCGGUUCAGAUCAAUGACAAAAAAUGUAAUUAUAGUAAAACAUGACAGAAAUGCCCCUUGAUUCAAAAUGGGACCAAUCAAUCAAGUAAUACAAAAUACAAUCACGUAUUACCAAAGCAAAGAAUAUAUAACAAAAAACAGAAAAAAAAAUAAAUUAUUUCUAUAAAACGUGACAGAAAUACCCCCAAACUAAAAAAUAAAAAUAAUCAAAAUUACAUUUCUAUUCGUAUGAGUUUGACGGUACUUUUCGGUUUCUUUGUGUAAUCAGUCAAUGAAUUUGGCUUAUAAAUAGCAAUAUAUAAAGCAUAUCAGGUCCAGAAAAAACAAAAAACAAUUGGAUAGAAAGAUGAAAAUACAUUCUCCAUGUUUACAGAUUUACAAAUUAUGGUAUAUCAAGCAUAUAAGGUUCAUAAAAAAACAAAAAACAUAGAAUUUGUUCAACUAAGGGAUUGUUGGGAAGUAUGAAGUAAAAUAAAACAAAAACUGAAUGAAACAUGAUAGAAUCGGUAAUUAUAAGUGAAACAAAGUAUAUACCCCUGAUGUGAAAAUUACCAAUAUGUCCUUGGAGUAGUAGCGGGAUAAAAAGAUGAAAAACAAACAGGGACAGCCUCAGUGAUUCAAGCAUCAGGUCCAGAAAAAACAAAAAACACAGAAUGUGAUAUAUCAUAAUC